rnacentral:rRNA from 1 species
UACGUAGGGGCAAGCGUUGUCCGGAUUUACUGGGAGUAAAGGGAGCGUAGGCGGACUUUUAAGUGAGAUGUGAAAUACCCGGGCUUAACUUGGGUGCUGCAUUUCAAACUGGAAGUCUAGAGUGCAGGAGAGGAGAAGGGAAUUCCUAGUGUAGCGGUGAAAUGCGUAGAGAUUAGGAAGAACACCAGUGGCGAAGGCGCUUCUCUGGACUGUAACUGACGCUGAGGCUCGAAAGCGUGGGGAGCAAACAGGAUUAGAUACCCGCGUAGUCCCUGA